UGGUGGAGUGAUUUGUCUGGUUUAUUCCGUUAACGAACGAGACCUCAGCCUGCUAACUACGUCUAGUAGACCCCGAUCUGCUACGACUUCUUAGAGGGACAUUGUGUGAAAGCACAAGGAAGUUUGAGGCAAUAACA
rnacentral:rRNA from 1 species